GCUCAGGUGGUGCAAUGGUAGCAUAUCAGGAACCCAUCAGUGCAGCCUUCGGGUGUUUGCAGACCCUCGUGAUCAGCUGUGUAACUGCCUUUUCUAGGCUCUUACUCCUGAUGAUUCGAGAUUCGAGCCCUCGUCUGAGCA